rnacentral:piRNA from 1 species
GUAUUUUUAAUGGUCUGUUGUUGAG